AAGGAAUGUGAGAAAGCCCUAACCACGCCCCCUUGCGUAGUACGUCAUGCACGCAUUGGAGACAUGUUCAGACAUGCAGACUCGGCAACUGAGAGUGAAAGGAGGCUAACGGGAUGGUUUAUGCAUAUUUGUAUAUGUUUUUCCCGUGUGUACUUGAUUACGGACCAUGUGUGAAUAAACAUAUACAGAUCUUCAUUUGAUUCAAAAGCUGAACUAUGCCUCAUUAUUCCGUUUCUCUAACCGGAAACAUCCACAUCCAUCUUGAGUGCAUUUUCACAUGAACCCACUGAGCGUCCUAAACGCUCGUAUAUGGUCCUUCGAGCCGGAUGCAUAAAGAUGGAUCAUGAAUCUCAAAGUGCAACUGAGCCUGAUGUACGUCCUCGCCCUCCAAGAGAGAGACAUCUUCCUGCCCAUCUGGCUGAUUAUGAAGUUCAGCUUCCAUAUAAUCUACAUCCAGAGCCACCUCCUGCUGAUGCAUCUUCACAGAGAGCCUCCAGACAAUCCAGACAUGCGUCUAGAUCCAUUUCUACCGGUACUGUAUCCAGUUCAUCCAGAUCUCAUCGUAGUGCACGACGCAGAUCUCCAAAACAUGGACUCUCAAAUCUUCAUGCUGCUAUGUUGGAAGCAAGACUUAAGUCUUUGGACUUGGAAGAACUUCAACGCCAGAUUGAAGAGGACGCCAUAGUAGAUAAAGAGUGUGAGAGACUUGAUGCUCAGGCUAGAGAUGCACAGUUAAAACAGGAACAAGCCAAUAAAGCUAGAGAGUUGUUGGCUAAGCAAGUAGAGACCAGACGGCGUCUGAAAAAGGUACAAAAUGAGCUUGAGGCUGCUAAAUAUGUUUGUGUACUUCUUAAACAGGAACCUCAAGAUGUUGAUGUUACUAAUGUACAGUCCAGUCUAACCACUGAUCCCCUGUCAGAGGUAAGCACUCAACAACAUAGAGUUGCUGUUAAUGAUGACUACAAGACAUCUACUCAUGUAAUGCCUAGCCAUACCUCUCGUCAUGUUAACUUUGCUCCUGUGUCAUCAGUAAUUGCUCCCUCUGUAUUAUCUGCUGUACACAGUACUGAUCCAGUAUCUGAAUUAUCAUUCAGUUCUGUCACCUCAGUUGCCGAGGUAACCCACUGCAACACCGUUACAUGGUCAUCGACUCCGCUAACUAAGACACAGUCUUAUGUAAUGCCUAAGUCAGAGUAUGGUAUUCCUUUACCCUCUAACCCUACAGUGGCCAGGCCACAUCAUUAUUCAGACACCUCUGUCACCUAUAGUCAGACACAGGCUAUAGCUCCACUUACCAGUCCUGUAGCUUCAGCUGUUGCCUUUCAUACUCCAUCCUAUACAGACAUGAAUGGUAUACCUCAGUUAACACCAGGAACAUUGUAUAAUACACCUCGAGGUCAAGCUGUAUUGUUCCCUACGCCUGUCCAGUCACCUGGUAUAGAAAUGUUAGCUGCCUCAGCUUAUGGUAUCCCAAAGCCUGCUAUUCCAUACUUCGAUACAGGACGGGAAAGUGACUUUGCACUACUGAAAAUGGCCUUAGACAAUGUAAUGAAUAACCAACUGCAUCUGAGUGAACAUUACAAAUAUCAGGUCCUCUUAAGUCACCUAAAACUGCCUAGUGCUCUUCAAUUGGCCAAAGCAUACAUGCACGAUCCCAGGCCAUACACCACUGCUUUACAGGCGUUGCAGGAUAAAUAUGGACAACCCCGCCAACUGGUUCAGUCUGAGUUAGGUAUCAUAUUGAAUACAUCAGCUGUAAAGUUUGGUGAUGCAGAAGCCUUUGAUGCAUUCUCCCUAUCCAUCCAAUCGUUAGUUGGGAUGCUCAGAACAUUAGAGGGCCCAAACGGGUAUGAGUUGCGCUGUGGCUCUCAUGUUGAUCGGUUACUAAGCAAGAUGCCACCGUCAUAUCGCGAUGGAUUCGUAGAGUUCUGCUUCAGUCGAGGUAUCUUGCAAACUGGUACAGACCGCACUUAUACAUUACCUGAUCUAUCUGAAUGGCUGCAAAUGAAGUCACAGGCCAAGCGCAUCUCCAAUAAAGCAGCUACACUGUAUCAAACUGACACAGCCAGACCAGUUAAGAAAGAUCAGCAAAGAUCAGUGCCAUCUCGCCCAAAAGAGAGAUCCACCUCUAUCUUGUAUUCAGCUAAUGGCAGUUCAAGUGCACAGGGACAACAGAAAUCUUACACUCCCUCUAAGAUUCAGCCUUACUGCCCGUACUGUAACAACAAGGAACAUUUCCUGAAUGCGUGUCCCACAUUCAAGACAAUGAACACAGAGCAAAUAACACAAUGGAUAUCCAAAGAAAAGCGUUGUUGGAAAUGUGGGCGAAAGCACACUUCAGAUAGCUGUACUCUGAAACGAACAUGUUCAACCUGCAAAGAGUUACAUCUGACCAUCUUGCAUGAUGCAGCAUUACAGAUCCAACAGAGUGUGCUGUUAGUUAAUGUUCCUUCCCCCCAGGUCUAUUUAGAUCGGCCCAACCGAUCUCAAAAGGUAAUGUUAAAGAUAGUCAAGGUCUUACUGCACAACCAAGAGAAAGUCAUGGAAACAUACGCUGUAUUGGAUGACGGAUCAGAGCGUAGCAUUGUACUUUCACAAGCCGUGAAACAAUUGAACCUUACCACUGAGCCUGAAAAACUCACUCUACGCACGGUUCAUCAGGAUGUUGUUAACCUGCACGGAGCUACUGUUUCCCUACAUGUGUCACCCUUGAAUAAACCAGGCACGAAAUAUCUGAUUGCCCAUGCUUUCACUGCAGAUAACCUGAGACUUUCCGAGCAUACUUACCCAGUGGUUUCUCUUCAACGCAAGUAUGAGCAUAUUAGGUCUUUGCCAUUACCCUUGAUUGACCGAGCACAACCUCUGUUGCUCAUCGGGUCUGACAUGCCUCAUCUACUCAAUCCAGUUCAGCCAGUGCGCAUGGGACCUACAAGUGCACCGAUUGCUAUUUGUACCAAACUUGGUUGGACGCUCCAAGGCCCAGUGGGCUUUAAUCAAACCACUCUUACCACCCAACAAUGUUUCCACAUAUCCACAACCACAUCGAAUACGGAGUUAUUCAAGAAUGUGGAACGCCUCUGGCAAAUCGAUACACUGCCUUACAUAAAUGAGAAAACAGCCACUCGGUCCAAACAAGACCAAUAUGCUAUCACUCUGCUCCAGACACAUACCACAAGAGUAAACGUUGAUGGAGUAAUGCGAUACGCCACACCUUUGCUCAGAAGAUCUAACGCUAAGGUUCUAAAGGCCCCUAAAGAAGCAGUGAUGGCAAACCUCAGAAGCACUGAGCGUAAACUUUCCAAAGAUCCUAGGCGAGCGGAGUCUUACUGUUCAGAAAUGAUAAAACUGCAGCAAUCUGGUUAUGUGGCAGAGAUAUCAACACAAGAAGCUGAACAAUCCAUGGAGUCAUGGUACAUUCCUCACCACAUGGUGACGCAUAACAACAAGGACAGAAUUGUUUUUAACUGUUCUUAUUCAUACCAAGGCCAAGCUCUAAAUGACAUCCUUCUGCCAGGGCCUGUUCUCGGUCCGUCUUUACUGGGUGUUAUGCUGAGGUUCCGUGAAUAUCCUGUGGCCAUCAGUGGGGACGUGAAGGGCAUGUUCCAUCAGGUUCGCCUUUUACCCAGUGAUAAACCUAUAACGCGCUUCCUGUGGAGAGACAUGCAGAGGACAGAACAACCCAAGAUCUACGAAUGGCAAGUCUUACCAUUCGGCACAACUUGCAGCCCAUGCUGCGCCAUAUAUGCACUCCAGGAAACUGCAAAUAACCAUCCUGAUGUUGAACCAGUUCUGGCGAGAACAGUCAAAGAUUCCUUUUAUGUAGACAACUGUCUUCAUAGCCUUCCAACUGUUGCUGAAGCUAGAGCACUGGUAGACGAUCUACGACAACUUCUACUCACCUGUGGGUUCGAACUGCGUCAAUGGGCCAGUAACAGACCAGAAGUUAUCCAGCAUCUUCCCUCUGAUGCAAGGUCACCAAAUAGUGAACUCUGGUUAUCACAGAAGAGUACUGACCUUUUAGAAGGUACACUUGGACUACUUUGGAACUGCCUCAGCGACUCAUUCAGUUACAAACCCAGCCAAUUUAGUUGCCUUGAACCAACUUUGAGAAACAUCUACAAAGUUUUGGCAUCUCAGUAUGACCCCCUGGGUUACUUAAUCCCAUUCACAACCCGAGCUAAAGUGCUGAUUCAGGAUCUGUGGAAGGACAAUGUCGGGUGGGAUGAUCUAAUCAAAUCCGAUCACUUAUUCACCAGAUGGCAGGACUGGCAACAUGAGCUCCAAAGUUUAAAUCAGAUUGCAAUCCCACGAUGCUACACAUCAUUUGAGGAUCCUGGAGAUAUUCUCAGUCGAGACCUACACAUAUUUUGUGACGCAUCUGAAAGGGCUUAUGGCUCAGUAGCCUACAUGCGAACAGAGAACAACGAUGGACAUGUACAUGUCUCAUUUGUGUUGGCCCGUUCACGAGUUGCCCCUCGGAAGCAAAUGACGAUUCCGCGACUGGAAUUGAGUGCAGCACUUAUAGGAGCACAGGUUGCCAAACUUCUACAAACUGAACUAACUCUCAACAUUGAUCAUGUUACCCUCUGGUCAGACUCAUCUACCGUUCUACAGUGGCUGAAAUCGGAUUCAUGCAGAUACAAAGUCUUUGUCGGAACCCGGGUUGCAGAAAUACAGUCACUCACUGAUAUUGAUAUCUGGAGGUAUGUUAAUUCAGGGAACAACCCAGCUGAUGUCAUAACACGUGGCCAAUCACUUAAGGAUUUAAUCCUUCCUUGUCGCUGGAGUAAUGGACCAGAUUUCUUACACCAGCCAGAGUCAUGCUGGCCCUCUUUACCGGCAGUUGAAACUGAACCAGAAUCAGAGUUGAAGAAGUCUGCAAUUUGCCUUAAUGUAUGCACCAGUUCAGACAUUGCCCUACCUGAUAUCAGUCAGUAUACUACCUGGACUGAAUUAUUAAAGGCAACAGCGACCUCCCUUCAUGGGGCGGCUACCUCUUCCACACAACCAACAGAUGAUUCGUUAAACUUCAUCUCAGCAGAGAGGCUCCUCUUACAACAGGCUCAGAAAGAUUCCUUCCCAGAGGAAUUUAAGGCUCUUGCUUCAGACCGACCAUUACCAUCCAACAGUAGAUUGGCAUCACUAUCACCCGAGUUUGAUAAGAUCAGUGGACUCAUCAGGGUUGGCGGGAGACUACGACAUGCCAAAGAUAUGGAAUUGGACGCCAUACACCCUAUCGUGCUUGAUCCACAGCACAGCCUAACCAAGCUUCUAAUUAAGGAUUAUGAUGCCUCCCUUUUACAUCCUGGGCCAGCAAGAGUCUUUGCUGAACUAAGAAGACGUUAUUGGAUUCUACGGGGAAGGGAGUCUAUUAAGAAACAUCAAUACACAUGCAUUGACUGUCAAAAAUGGCGUGCCAAGCCUAACAUUCCCAAAAUGGCCGACCUUCCACCAGCACGCUUACGUCUGUACAAGCCCCCCUUCUAUUCCACUGGAAUGGAUUGCUUUGGUCCAUUCACGGUGAAGAUUGGCCGAAGAAAUGAGAAAAGAUGGGGAAUAGUGUUUAAAUGUCUGACAACCCGUUGUCUACAUCUUGAUCUGUUAGAAAGCAUUGACACAGAUGCAUUCCUAAUGUCUCUUAGAAGAUUCAUAGCUCGAAGAGGGAAACCAUUCGAGCUUCUUUCUGAUAAUGGUACCAAUUUUGUUGGAGGAGACACAGAGAUGAGAACAGCCUAUGAAGCCAUGACGCCUGAUCUGAAGCAACAACUUGCUGAACAACAGAUUUCAUUCAGAUUCAAUCCACCUAGUGCCCCUCAUUUUGGGGGAGCAUGGGAACGGGAAGUGAAGUCAGUAAAGCAGGCCCUAAAAGUAGUACUGAAGGACCAAACAGUGUCUGAGACUGUACUCCGUACCAUUCUCACUGAGGCAGAGGGUAUCUUGAAUGCUAAACCAUUGGGAUACACAUCCUCAGAUGUGGCAGAUCCGGACCCUAUUACACCUAACAUCCUGCUAAUGGGUCGUCAUGAUUCGUCACUUCCACAAGUACUCUAUGAUUCAAGUAAUCUUUUGGGAACUAGAAGAUGGAAACAUAGUCAAGUACUUGCUGACCAUUUCUGGGCUAGGUUUAUCCGUUAUUACCUCCCAAAUCUGCAAGAAAGACAAAAGUGGCGUAAAGAGGGAGGAGAAAUUAGUCUGGACCAAGUGGUACUGAUAGUGGAUCCACAACUGCCACGAGCAUGUUGGCCAGUAGGAAGAGUGACCAAAACUUUCCCUGGACUUGAUGGACGUAUCAGAACAGUUGAAGUUCAGGUACACAAUCGCACUUAUGUAAGACCUGUAUCCCGUAUAGUAUCACUCCCUAAACUCAAUGAAGAUGACACUAUUGCCCCUACCAGUUAGGAUUUCUCACUAAUUCAAAUGUUCUUAUACACAUUUGGGGGCGGCUGUGUGAGAAAGCCCUAACCACGCCCCCUUGCGUAGUACGUCAUGCACGCAUUGGAGACAUGUUCAGACAUGCAGACUCGGCAACUGAGAGUGAAAGGAGGCUAACGGGAUGGUUUAUGCAUAUUUGUAUAUGUUUUUCCCGUGUGUACUUGAUUACGGACCAUGUGUGAAUAAACAUAUACAGAUCUUCAUUUGAUUCAAAAGCUGAACUAUGCCUCAUUAUUCCGUUUCUCUAACCGGAAACAUCCACAUCCAUCUUGAGUGCAUUUUCACAUGAACCCACUGAGCGUCCUAAACGCUCGUAUAAGGAAAAUAAAAUAGAUAAAAGAAAUAAAUUGAAAAAACACCAUAGGAUAUUAUAAAAGGUAAACAAGAAAAAAGCUGUGAGAAUAGAAAAAAGAAAUAACUAAUUAUUGUAACAAACAUACGAUUUAAGGAAAUAAAUCUAAAUUGUAUCUAGUCACGAUUUAAGAGCAAUUAAUGACAAGAAAAGAUUGAUGAUCCAAAAAAUUACAGACUUUGCUUACAACUGUUUCUUCAUUUGAUAAACAUUUUUACUGUGAAUUAUGAUUUGCAUAAGAAGUAGAUACUUGCAUUUACGUAUUUAAUUAUAAGGGAAAAUAUUAUACAGGUUUAGAAUGGAUGAACUACUAUUCCAACAGGCGGAAAGUUAAUUUGGUUGAUUAAUGCUAAAAAGUUGAUAAAAUGAUUGGUUGUCAUUGAGUUAUAGGGACACAGGAGAACAGUUGAUUUGCCAGCAAGGACAAACAGAUGUGGAAGCUAAAAAGGGCCUCAGAGUGUCAGGAGAUCUUUUUAGAUUGUAUAAGAAGUGAGAAAUCUCAGUCAUAAAUAUUAUUAUCAUAGAUGUACAUGGGGCGAAUAAGUGGAAUAAAAAUGAAUUAUUCGAUUCAUGAGAAGAAUAAAGAUUUUGAGUUGAGAUAAAAAGGGAAAAACUCAUGUGACGGGUAAGAGAGAAGAAAAUUUGACUAUCAUCUAUAAUCACAAAGGAUGGUAGAUAAAAAGGUAUAGAAAAGGAAUAAUCAUCAAAGCCAUACUUAACAAAAUGUGUGGAAAUACUCAUCGUAACAGAAUUGAUGUUUUACUUUGUAUUAGUGAGCAUGUAAACUAACAACCGUACACCUUUAACACUGCAUGAAAUAUUCGCCGAUAGACCUAUGCGUAUUGUAAAAACAUCUGGAAUUAAGUAUUAUAUGAAGAAACUAAUUGUCUAUGUAUUGAGUUAUUUGUGUACAGAAAAAGCUGAAAGGAGUUGAGGAGGAGAUGAGAAACAUGACUCCUUGUGCGAGAUGAUCUAGCUUAUCUGAGGGUCGAGAGGUUGGAGGAGCCCAAACACGGCCACAGGGGGCCUAACUGAAGGAUGAGACCAGCCCCAGAAAUGUCCAAGUGGGAGGAGCAGCCACUGUAUAGCAGAGCUCGUAGGAAGGAGAGAAGGAGAAAGAAUGCCAAUGAUAUGAAAGAAGAAACAUCAAAACCAAAUCAAAGUUAAAGCAAUUCAAGUAUACCGACGGAUGGAGAGCAAAGUUUUGAGCACCGAGAGGAAAAAGUGAAAAAGAGAAAUUGUCAAAAGAAAUUGAAUUGAAAAGAACGAAACUCAUAACUACAGAAGAUUUGCAUUGCUACAAACGAAGCCGAUUACUACAGACGAUUUGCAUUGCUACAAACGAAGCCGAUUAUGUACUACAGAAGAUUUGCAUUGCUACAGUCAAUUAAAGAACGAAACCGAUUACUACAGAAGAUUUGCAUUGCUAAAGUCAAUUAAACUUCCUGGCGAUGGACUUUUGCCUUAAACAAGGCCCAGUGAAAGAUCUGCAAUAAUUUCAAAGGAACAGACUCUGAAAGAAAGACUGAAAACAUAGAGACAUUGAACAGAGAACUUAAGGUGGACAUUUUAUGGGAAACAUCCCAAAGAUAACAAUGAUACAAAUGGGGAAUAUUUACAGUUAAGGAAAUAUAUUUGCAAAACCAGAUUUCAAUAAUGCAAUAACAUUUUCAAGUCCACAUACUUUGGGGUGAUAAAUUCAACAAGAAUUCUUAUGGAUUACAAGAAAAAGUUUAAGGUCAAUUUAUCUGGAUAAUAUUUAGGUCUUUUGGAAAAUUCUGAGUUUAAAAAAUACAUCUGGUAGGCCACAAUUUGGAAAUUUGUGUCAAUGGAAGUAAAUAACAAAACACUAAAAAUAAAAAAGGAGGGAUAGAUAUUUCAGAAUGGUACAGAAAAAAUUCUGAAUGGUACAGUAAGAUUACAAUAAAAAAUAUAAGCCUUAUGGAAUUAUAGACUUAAGGAAAUUAAAUAGGAAAUGUUUUAUAACUGGAAUUUUGAAUGAAUCAACUAAAAAAACCUCUAGAUCUAUUAUGAAGACAUCGAAACGUAUAACUUAAGGUGUAAAAGGGAGAAGAGAAAUGCUAUUAGAAGAAUAAUAUAAUCAAAUCAUAGAAACAUAUACAUUGAAGAUAUUUGAAGAUCCAAUCAUAUCGAUUGGAGAGUUAUUUUGAAUUUAUAGAAAAAGAAAAUGUUUGACCUCGUUAUCAUUAGGAGGGAGAGGAAAAGUACUUAAAUAUAAUGGAGACAAGAAAUCACUACAAAAGAAGGGUAUUUAGGAUCCUUAUAAAAGGAUGAACACAACAAUUAAUCAUAAAUUAUAUGUAGAUUCUGUUGAUCAACCAAAUGGGUACCAAAUUAGAUAAAGGGAUGGGAUUAAGCUAAAUAAGGAAUUUAAUAAAGUUUUGUCAAAAUAAAAAUACAGAAUAAAUAAAUUAUGUACAGUACUACAAUCAAAAAGUAGAUUAUUAAGUUUACAAAUAAGGCAUUAAUUAACUUAGGAUAACAACUAGAUGCAGCCAUUAGAAAGUACAUGAUAACACAUACUGAAUCAAUUUAAUUAAAGGUUAGUGGGUAAAUGAGGCAUAGAUGUCUGGUUAGAGAACCAAACGGAAGUUAAAAUAUUAGGAUGAUGGAAAAUUUACUUGAAAUUAACAAGAAUGUUAUCAGGACUUACGUUACAAGACAGUAAUGAAUUUACAAAUAGUAAAUGAGAAUUCAAGCACCUCUGAUGAAGAUGGAAAAAAUUCAUUUAAAUUGUUAUCAAGAAUUAUUAUGCAUGCUUUACCAUUUACUAGUUUUAUUUGAAUUAAUUACAUUUAUGUGUGUAUUAUGCAAUCUUUACUUAGUUUAUUAUGGGUUAUUUACAUUUACUUGUUUUAUUUGAAUAUUUUACUUUAAGCUGUGUUGCAAUCUUUACUUAGUAUAUUAGUGGUUCACAUUUUAUUAUGUUAUUUGAGUUAAUCUACAUUUAUUUGUGUUUAUUAUGCCAUCUUUCCCUAGUUUUAUUAUGGGUUAUUUUAUUUACUUUGUUUAUUUGAAUCAACUUACAUUUAUACUUGUUUAUUAUACUUAAUUUUUACUUUUUAUGCUUCAAUUCAGUAUCAAUUAGUUAUAUUUACUCGUUUUGAAUUUGAACAUUAAUCUUUAACAUUUAUUUUGUGUUUAUUAUGCAUACUUUACUUUUGUUUUUAUUAUUUUUUACUUGGAUUCAUUAACGUUGACUUUACAUUUACGAUGUUUUAUCAUAUACUCUACAUAGCUAAAAUGAUAACUGUAAGCGCAAAACCAAUUGCGCACAAACUGUUUAGGGCUUAAGUACUUUUACUUUUACAUUCAAGUCAAAAUGAGAAUGGAAAGAUGUUUGUCUUAUUGUCCAUAGUUCGAAGUGCAGUGGCAUAAUUUAGUAAUUGGUAAGGUAUAGUGGCUUUCUUUAGCCACAAGAUAUUAAUAAUUGAAACGCUGAAUUAUGAAACUGCACUCCGGAUUAAAAUAAACAGGAAAGGUGAGGCUAAAUUAAGCCUCAGAGCGGGGAUUAUGAAGAAGUUUUAUUUUAAUCCCAAUCUACAUUAAUAUGAUGAAUAUGAGUUUACCAUUAUAAUCACACGUAAUUUGUUUACUAUGAAGUUAUGCAGGUCAUGUGUUAUGUUGUGUGGAUCAGGAGUUUGUUUGCCAUGGGAUUGCUAUUGGAACCCAGCUGUGUGUCUUCAUGUUUCAGGGCACAAAGGAUUUUAGUAUUAGCAAAUAGCCAAGGGUCAAAUAGGUCAAGGAAAGGAGACACUGGUCUGGUCUGGGGACUGUCAUGUGAUUCUUCAAGUUACAAGCCUGAACAGAAACAUAUUGUUAAAGCAUAUGGAGGGGAGGGACAAAGACCAUAUAUAUUUACCAAGCCUGGCUGAGAGCUUCAGACUGAUUUGGAGAAUGUCCCCAGAACUUCACUCGGGUUCUGGGGAGAUUCAUCAGGCAGGCUCGGCUUCUUAUUUUGUCCGGAAAAUAAAAGUCUAUCUCUUGAAAUCAGAA